GAUAAUUACGUAUUGCACAGUACUUUAUGUGAAUUCUUCGUCGCUAUUUCUAAAAUGAACAACGAUUAAAAUUACAAAAUUAUUGUCAGGGUGCCUACGUGCGCGGCGAUCGAGAAGAAGAUAACGCAGAAGAGAGACGGCAAAAUUUCUAAGAAAGUUUACACGAACCGCCGAAGAUAAGGUGUUGAGAAGUUAUAUCGAGAAAUUCGGACUGUUAGUUUAUGCGGCAUGCAAUAAAUAAUUUAAAGUUAUAGCCCAAGUCUUGGUAAAGUUUUCGCGAAAAGUUGCCGAGAGUAAGAUAUCAAGAGAUCGUGUUAAGAAAUUCAAACUAUUAAUUUGGUACAGUAAUGAAUAAUUUAAAGCCAGUUUACAUGUCAUGUCUCUGUCUCCCGAACCAUUUACCUCUCUUAUCUAGCCACACCUUUGGCGAAUAAUUAGAUAAUGUAUAAUUUUCCAUUCGCGCGUAUAAUCUGUCAGUUUAAAUUUCGUUCUUGUUUUAUGCUGAAUGUUUCUAGAUACGAUCAUUGAAGCCAACUUCACGCAAUUAUACUAACAGCAAGUUCAAGCGUUAGCGUAACGGUAUCAUAUAUUGCAAAAUUUUAAAUUCAUUUGACCGUUUAGAUAUAUUAUUAUCCAUGAUUAACGCGAUUAAUUAUCCGUCUUGUAUAAAAAUCCCAUCUACAAAUUCAAAACAGAAUAUGACAAAUACAUUACCACAACAAUUAGAUUUAGUGAAAGCACUAGCUCUUAAUAAUGAUUUGAUAUUGUUAGCAAAUCAAAUAUUUGGCGAAGGAAAAUGGAGUCAUAAUAUUACUAGCCAAACAAUAGAUUUUAUUGAAACUUUCAUGGGUAAAUAUGUUUGUGGAUGCGUGACACUUCUCAAGGUCCAAUUAAAAGAUGGAACAUCUCAUGAGGACAUGGGGUAUUGUUACACAGAAGGAGCUAUGAAAGGUUUAACAAUACAUUGUGCAAGAAUUGGUUCUCUUACAGAUGCCUUUAAAAGGGUAUUGUCAUGUUUUGGUAAAGAGAUAAAUACUGAGAUACAAAAUCUAUCAAAAAAGUUAUCAAAUUCACAUAUGGUUGCCGAUAGUUUAUUUAACGGAACAGAAAACAGAACUUCAGAAAUUAAAAUGCCAGAACCAUGUGCUCAAUCGACUCCGUUUAUAAGUAAAAGUGAUAAAGAAAAACAAAAAACAGAGAAUGUAUUAAAAUCAAAAUGCCCAAAUGUUGCGAAGGAGCAAGUGUCUGUAGAACAAACGGUAGCAAAUUCUGUUGCACAACCGGAGCAGUGUAUCAAAACUUCAAGCGAGAUGAAAAGUCAUGUACAGCCCGGUGUUCCGGGUAAUCAGAAAGAGCAAAAUAAUAUUGAAAUAGGAGAUUCAAAAUCAGCAUCUGAAGAAGAACUUUUACGAAUGGAACGGAAACGAAAACAAAUGGAGAAACAAGCAGAGUAUAAGAGAUUAAUGAAGGAAAGAGAACAACAGAAGACUAAUCAAAAUAAAAAAAGCAGUACAAGAUACUAGUCGAUAAAGUUAAAAACUUUAUAUGAAUAAGUCGUAUAAUCACAGUUGUAUACACAGGUGUGGAAACUCCUGUGUUAAAGGUAGUUCCUGAUUUGAGGUCAGAAGAUUUUUUGUAUUGUUUACCACACACAUGAUAUUGAGUAGUUAAAACAAUUUCAACAAGGUAUACAUUAUUUCUUCAUAAACAAUUCUAUUUAUAAUUAAAUUUCGCUUUAGGGGACACAACAUUAUGGCCUUGUGUCUCCUAUUGUUUUAACUACUCUGCAGCAACGCCGCUGUUGGUGGAUUGGAAAAACAUCAAUCGUCACAUGAUCGUGUCGUCCCCCUAUUACGGGAGUUUCAGGACUUGUGUACACGACCGCGGUUAUAGGUUAUGGACUAACAAAUGCCAUAUUGUAAACAUGCCCAUUUAAUUCCCAUUUCCAUCGAGUGUAAUUUGAUUUUGUGCAAGAACACGUGUGUUAUGUUCUGUGAUAUGUUUUACAUAAUAAAUAUUCAUUCGGUGUUUCUAUAAUUUUAA